rnacentral:rRNA from 1 species
UACAGGGGGUGCAAACGUUGCUCGGAAUCAUUGGGCGUAAAGCGCACGUAGGCGGUUCGUUAUGUCGGAUGUGAAAGCCCUUGGCUUAACCGAGGAAGUGCAUCCGAAACUGGCGAGCUAGAGUACUAAAGAGGAUCGCGGAAUUCCCGGUGUAGAGGUGAAAUUCGUAGAUAUCGGGAGGAACACCGGUGGCAAAGGCGGCGAUCUGGGUAGAUACUGACGCUGAGGUGCGAAAGCGUGGGGAGCAAACAGG